rnacentral:lncRNA from 1 species
UACCUAGCCUAGUGUCUGCACUUCUGCUCUGCUGCCUCAGAAAGGCCUUGGCUCCAGCUGAGAAAAAGUCCAGAAGAGAUCCACGACUGGUGGGAUUCAUUAGACAUUUUGGUAUGUAGCAAAAGGAGGGACAAUAUCAGAUUCAGAUAACAGAGAAAACAUUUUAAUUGAAUCCAGCUGUAAUUCCAUCAAAGUCACCAUUCCUCCUCAAUUUGAAGCAGAAGGCUAAUGGCUGCUAG